rnacentral:rRNA from 1 species
AGGGAAUUUUCGUCAAUGGGGGGAACCCUGAACGAGCAAUGCCGCGUGAGUGAGGAAGGUCUUCGGAUCGUAAAGCUCUGUUGUAAGAGAAAAAUGGCACUCAUAGGGAAUGAUGAGUGAGUGAUGGUAUCUUACCAGAAAGUCACGGCUAACUACGUGCCAGCAGCCGCGGUAAUACGUAGGUGGCGAGCGUUAUCCGGAAUGAUUGGGCGUAAAGGGUGCGUAGGUGGCAGAUCAAGUCUGGAGUAAAAGGUAUGGGCUCAACCCGUACUGGCUCUGGAAACUGAUCAGCUAGAGAACAGAAGAGGACGGCGGAACUCCAUGUGUAGCGGUAAAAUGCGUAGAUAUAUGGAAGAACACCGGUGGCGAAGGCGGCCGUCUGGUCUGGAUUCUGACACUGAAGCACGAAAGCGUGGGGAGCAAAUAGGAUUAGAUACCCUGGUAGUCCACGCCGUAAAUGAUGAGAACUAGGUGUUGGGGGAAUAACUCAGUGCCGCAGUUAACGCAGUAAGUUCUCCGCCUGGGGAGUAUGCACGCAAGUGUGAAACUCAAAGGAAUUGACGGGGGCCCGCACAAGCGGUGGAGUAUGUGGUUUAAUUCGAAGCAACGCGAAGAACCUUACCAGGCCUUGACAUCCCUUGCAGAGGUAUAGAGAUAUAUCCGAGGUUAUCAAGGAGACAGGUGGUGCAUGGUUGUCGUCAGCUCGUGUCGUGAGAUGUUGGGUUAAGUCCCGCAACGAGCGCAACCCUUGUGAUAUGUUACUAACAUUGAGUUGAGGACUCAUAUCAGACUGCCGGUGAUAAACCGGAGGAAGGUGGGGAUGACGUCAAAUCAUCAUGCCCCUUAUGGCCUGGGCUACACACGUACUACAAUGGCGUCUACAAAGAGCGGCAAGCCUGUGAAGGCAAGCGAAUCUCAUAAAGGACGUCUCAGUUCGGAUUGAAGUCUGCAACCCGACUUCAUGAAGCUGGAAUCGCUAGUAAUCGCGAAUCAGCAUGUCGCGGUGAAUACGUUCUCG